GUCUUUUUAGUUUAUAUCUAAAACAUAACUCUGAAGAGGUUAAAAAUUAUGAGACG
rnacentral:tRNA from 1 species